rnacentral:lncRNA from 1 species
GGAAUUUUUUAGUGCAAACGUGCUGCCAGUGGAUUUGCAUUGUACUGCUUGUCAGCCAUUGUCAUGAUUCUGUGCUAACAAUCCCAAGCAAAGACCACUGUACCAUUGUACAUGAAUAAUUGAUUUAUUAGCAAAACAACUGCAGGGGACUGAGUCAUGUUUCGUUGAGAGUGUCACAGGUCAGAGCUGGCUUUCUUUUUAUGGACACAGCUGCAAAAGUCUGAGAGUUGUCAGCCUCCUCGUUAGCUUUUUUUUUCUUUUGUUACUUUGGAUGAGGCGUCUGACUGACUUGAAAGACGUGCGUCAUGAAUGUCCAUCUGUGCAGCUGUCUCUGUGAAGAAAAUGAGCAGUCUUUGACUUGUGGAUGCCAAUUGAAAGACGACACCAAUUAUUUGGGUUGUAUUUGAAAGCGGAGAUGUGGUGCGUGGCGUUGUUUUGGUUCUGAGACGACUCCAUUUGGCCUUUCUUGACAGUGAACAGCAGGGUGUCAGGAGAGUUGUAGCAGUCAUGCCCUCAUUUCUCUACAGGUCAUUCUGGUCAAGGAUAAUUAUGUCAUGAACAAUUGUGUGGCAUGUAUUUUUAUCCCCUACUAAUCGUGUUGCAUUUUCAAACUGACUGAAGUGCUUUUUUUUAUACAAUUUCUUUGAAUCACAGGCUGAGAAAGAAUGUCUGAAAGGAGAUCAGGUACUUUGAAUUUACUUAAUUGUAUUUUCUCUGAGGCCUCCUGUACUAUUGUGUUUUUACUUGCAUUUUUCUUGUAAGCAUAAAUGUCACAAUUUGCUAUUUUCAGGGUCUCCAAGGUGAAAAAGGAGAGAAGGGAUCGGCUGGAGUGCCUGGUCGUCCAGGGGAAGCGGGGAAAGAGGGCAAAAGGGGGCGGAGAGGAAAACCUGGACCCAAAGGCUCGCCUGGUCCCGCAGGAGCCGCCGAAGGAGCAAGUGCCAAGGUAUUACCCAAACAUUUUUCACCACAAAACAAAUACUGACAAGCGGCGUUUAAAGUAGAUUCGAGGUGUCUCCCGCUUUUGAUAAACUGGCCCUUACCUUCACUUCGAGCAAGUGUGAAUUGCCAAGAUGACUGAGCAGUGUUCACUGUAGCAGCCUCCCGAACAGCCAAGGAGUUUAAUCAUCUGC